CCCUCUAGCCAUCCACGCGUACGGGUGUUGGGAGACAUUGCCCGGAGAUGGAUUCUGAGACACGAAUCCAGACCCUACGGGGUGCAGCAGGCGCGAAAACUUGGCAAUGCGAGAAAUCGUGACCAGGGAACUCCAAGUGGCAGGGGUAAGACCCUGUCUUUUUCCGACUCUAAAUAGGUCGGCGAAUAAGGGGUGGGUAAGGACGGUGCCAGCCGCCGCGGUAAUACCGGCGCCUCAAGUGGUAGUCGCUUUUAUUGGGCCUAAAACGUCCGUAGCCGGUCUGGUACAUUCGUGGGUAAAUCAACUCGCUUAACGAGUUGAAUUCUGCGAGGACGGCCAGACUUGGGACCGGGAGAGGUGUGGGGUACUCUCAGGGUAGGGGUAAAAUCCUGUCAUCCUGAGAGGACCACCUGUUGCGAAGGCUCCACACUAGAACGGAUCCGACGGUCAGGGACGAAGCCUAGGGGCACGAACCGGAUUAGAUACCCGGGUAGUCCUAGGUGUAAACGCUGUGGACUUGAUGUUGGGGACGCUCCGAGCGUUCUCAGUGUCGAAGCGAAGGUGAUAAGUCCACUGCCUGGGGAGUACGGUCGCAAGGCUGAAACUUAAAGGAAUUGGCGGGGGAGCACCGCAACCUGAGGAUUGUGCGGUUUAAUUGGAUUCAACGCCGGAAAACUCACCAUGACCGACGGACAUAUGAAAGCCAGUGUAACGAGCUUGCUGGAUUGUUCGAGAGGUAUUGCAUGGCCGCCGUCAGUUCGUACCGCAAGGCGUUCUGUUAAGUCAGAUAACGAACGAGACC
rnacentral:rRNA from 1 species